UUUGGUCCAUGCUUUGUCUGACUCUGGUUGAUUUUCUUGCAACCUGAGCUCAGUGUAAAGCCUCCUUCUCCUUCCAGAGAUGGGAAGUUCACACAAAUCUGCAAAUUCACACAAAUCUGGUAUUGUGAGUGUUCCUGCAAUGAAGUACCAUGGAACAGGACUUCUUUUCAGUCUGGAGAUACAAGACUUGAGAUUCUUGUAAGACCUUGCACUGACAACCAGCCAGCUAAUUCUGAUUGACCAGUAUCAUCUUCACAAAGAAAUGAUGAUUUCAAGACCCUUUUUCUCCAGAACCAGUCAAAAGCUGCUGAAAGGAUUGUUCCAUGCUGGCAAAAUCUCCCAUGGCAAAGUCCAAGAGAAAAUUGAAGGAAGAUCUGCAGUUUUCAGAGUUUUGCAUUCUUGCUUCUGGCUUAUUCAGGAUUUGCCAUGCAGAGUAACCAGUGAGCACCUGCUGUGCUGCCCAGGGGAUGGGCUGCUCCUUGGUUCCUCACACCAGCUCUGACCCGCCAUGGUGUCUCCUCAAGCCUGGCCCCAAGGAGGGAAGAUGCUUUUGGUGAGUUUGGUGCCUGGAAUUUGUGAUUUUAACAUCCUGCUUGACCUUCUCCAGCCACAGCCUCCCUCAUCACUCUGAAUUUACUGUCUGAGCUCUCUGAGCUUUUGUCCAGGCUGCAAAUCCUAAGGCACAGUGCAUAACUCUGAUGCUUGGGCCCUUGAUUUGCUGACAUGUGUCUUCAUCUUACAUCCUCCACUUCCUUUUCCCUUCUCCUCCCCCCAACCCCAGGCUUUCCACAACCACAGCAAGCCCUGCCAGUGAAUUCUAGCCUUUGUCUUCACCCCAGUCAGCAGCAGCCUCCAGAUAACAAAAACAAUGAUGCCAUUUAUCUUUAUCACUCUCACAACACAGCAGUGACCACAGGCUCUUUGCUUUGCCUCCCAAAUCAGUGACCAGCACACAGAAAUCCUGAGGUUCACUCCUGGUUCUCCAGUGCUCCUCUCUGGCUCCAGCUCCUCUUGGUGCCUGAGGUCACAAUUUUGAAAUCCCACACCAGGCACAGACUGAGAGGGCUCCAACCAUGCAGGAGCAGAGAAGGAGCCUGCACCCUCCAUGGGAAACAUGAAAUUUGUGCAGAGAGCUCAAUCCUUCUCUUCCAGCCAACUAAGAGGGGGAAAAAAGGGUGGAGUAGAUUUUCUUCCUCUCUUCCAAGCCCUGAAUGUUUAGCAUAUGGGCCAUAAAAUUUCCCUAAAUUGCUCAAGGGAAAAUCCAUGUGAUGCAGAUAUUGUACCAAACCAGGUCUGCAGAGGCCCUUACAAAUCCCAGCCUGGGGAGCUUGAA